rnacentral:rRNA from 1 species
GCAAGUGGAGCGGUAAGGCCCCUUCGGGGGUACACGAGCAGCGAACGGGUGAGUAUCGCGUGGGUAACCUACCCUAAGGUGGAGGAUAGCUCCGGGAAACCGGGGGUAAUACUGCAUAUGUCCUCGAUGACAUAAGUCGACGAGGGCAAAGGCGGGGAUUCUUCGGAACCUGUCGCCUUUGGAUGGGCCCGCGUCCGAUUAGCUUGUUGGUGGGGUAACGGCCCACCAAGGCUGCGAUCGGUAGCCGGCCUGAGAGGGUGAAC